rnacentral:rRNA from 1 species
AGAUUGAACGCUGGCGGCAUGCUUUACACAUGCAAGUCGAACGGCAGCACGGGGGCAACCCUGGUGGCGAGUGGCGAACGGGUGAGUAAUGCAUCGGAACGUAUCUUUAAGUGGGGGAUAACGCAUCGAAAGAUGCGCUAAUACCGCAUAAUCUCUGAGGAGAAAAGCAGGGGAUCGCAAGACCUUGCGCUUUUGGAGCGGCCGAUGUCUGAUUAGCUAGUUGGUGGGGUAAAGGCUUACCAAGGCUUCGAUCAGUAGCUGGUCUGAGAGGACGACCAGCCACACUGGGACUGAGACACGGCCCAGACUCCUACGGGAGGCAGCAGUGGGAAUUUUGGACAAGUGGGGGAACCUGAUCCAGCCAUGCCGCGUGAGUGAAGAAGGCCGUUACGGUUAGUAAAGUCUCUUCAGGACCGGAACGAAACGGUUACGGUUAAGUAACCGUAGACUACGUA